rnacentral:lncRNA from 1 species
AUCAUACAGCAACUACCAUAACUAACAGCCAUAUGGGGGACAUACGCUAAAAUACAAAUCAUCUAUGGGUAACCCUGCUGACCCACACCCAACCCCGGAUGAGGCGUACGAAAAACUCUAGGAGCCUCUAUCCUACAACCCUGAUUCUAGACCUCCAGACUUUCCUAUCAAGGGUCAUGUCCUUGGUAACCUGCAUUCUAGUCAUGUCCUGCCUAA